UGCGGGGGGCCGUGUGGCGCUAUGAGGGGGUUGUCGCCAGGAGGAAGGGUUCCAUAAGGGUGGGCGCUGUGAGGGAGCUGCUGCCGCCCUGCUCUGUUCCCAGACCUGCGGGGAGCCCGCAAUUGUGAGAUUAAACAGCCUGAGCAAUCUUGCUUCUUGCUCCGGCUCCCACACGUUUACAUAAAGACGGUGUAACUGCAAACAGAAUCGCAAAACACGUCCCAUCACGGUGAAGAACAAAAUGUGGCCCGCUAAUUAGAAUUAUGCAGAGCAGCGUCCCUAAACAGCUUACAGCAACAAAGUACGAAGGGCCGCUGCUAAUCCCCCCUUAUCUGUCUGUCCGGGAGCUGAUUGUGCUGCCAUGAAAGAGCCUAUUUAUUAAACAACCAAGUAAAUGUCAUGCAGAUUGUAAUAAUCUUGCAUGCAUCGUUCAGAUUUGACACAGAGCUUCAGUGUACUCUUCAGUGGUGGUUACAGACUAAACCAUAUCCUGAUUUCUUAUAUAUACUCGGAUGAGCUGAACAAGCUUAUAUUCCUCUGUGCAUAAUGGGUGCAGAUGGGGCCUAGUGGCUUGGAGUAAGGCAGCCUGAUGCACUUUCCCUACGCUGAUGGAAAUUCCACCACCACAGAGGACAGUCUGCAUUGAUUUGGAUCACAGUGAUUUGAAGUAAGAAUGAAUCGUGCUGAUGAAUUAUACAUUGUACCUGGAACUGGGAUAUGCGCAGAAAGCUACUGCCUGAUCUAGGAGAAGAACAAAAUCCCGGUCAGACCGUAAGGAGCUACCGUGUGCACCAAACGUCCUUCAGAAUAAAUACGGACUCAGAGGUGCUUGGCGAAGAAGCUUUACAUCCUGACCUUUAAAAUGUGCAGUCACGGUUAUGGAGACCAAGUGAUGCCAGCGUGAGCUGCAGAAGAGUCAUGAGUCACUUGUGAAAUCUCUGCUGCAGAAGGAACACGUUAUCCCUUCACUCUGCUGGUAGUGCCAGUCUCUUGCUGUCUUAAGAGACCCAUCUGCUGCUGCCCAAAUUAGACACACAGCUCUCGCCGUCACCAUGCAAAGCAGUCAGUGCUCAGAGCGUAGCAUUCUCCCCAGCCUGAGCCUUGCUUAGCAUCUUACCUACAGCAAGGGAAACCCCCUCCUGCCAAGCGUGGCUUACGUCCCAUGCACGGCCUCAAGAGAGGAACGGCUGCUGUGCAACUGCCAGAGCUGAUUUCUCAGCACUGGGACUCUGCAGGUCUUUGCCAGCAAGCCCAGGUGUAGGACAAAAGGAGAGAGCUUCCUUUGGGGCAGAAGUUGCUAUCAUGAGCCAAUGGAUGAGAUGGGGGUCUGGUGAAGAACCGAGCACCUCAGCUGCACAGUUCACGGUAUUACCUGAGGAAUUUGCUACUACUCAUUUGUCUUCAGCUCUGCACACUUAGUCUGGCUCACGGCGCACAACAUUGCUGUUGGAAAAAAAGCUCAAGCUUCAGCUGACCUCAGUGUGCCAUUGCUGCUUGUUUGAAUCCACAGUGUAUGCCUUAACCUGAAAAUAAUGCAGGAAGGCUUACCAGAGCAGAUGUUACACUGCCAUUCGGUUAUUUUAAAGUAGGUUGUGAAAAUAUGUAAAUCCAAAGAAAAAAAACCUUCACUUUAGCCAUGCAUGUCUCCUGCAGUAUAUGUAUAUACGUUGAGAUGCUCUUAGUUCAAAUUACCAGUCCUUGAAAGCUUCGACAUUUGCCCUUCUGGGACGUCCAGUACUUCGUUCAGGUGUGAAUCCCUGCUCCUAAAGUGGGACUUCUCCAUUUGGCAACCCUCUCGAAAAUAGAACAAGCAAUUGGAAAUCUCUUGAUGGGUAGGUGUUUCAGGCUGGAGAUGUUUCUCAUUUUCUGCUUCUGAAGAAUGAGUAGGUUGCAUUGAAAUAGUGACAUCUGUGGGAGCUUUUUAAGCCUGAUAUAUAUUUAUUAGGACUUUAUGGCACAUAAGUGGGAUUGCUUACAAUCUGUGAUAUUUGAGGAAAAGCAUCACAGAAAUCAUUC